rnacentral:rRNA from 1 species
UUAUGCGAUUAACUGGUGUGAAUUGCAGAAUCCCGUGAACCAUCGAGUCUUUGAACGCAAGUUGCGCCCGAAGCCAGUAGGUUGAGGGCACGUCUGCCUGGGUGUCA